GUAGUCCACGCCCUAAACGAUGUCAACUGGUUGUCGGGCCUUCAUUGGCUUGGUAACGUAGCUAACGCGUGAAGUUGACCGCCUGGGGAGUACGGUCGCAAGAUUAAAACUCAAAGGAAUUGACGGGGACCCGCACAAGCGGUGGAUGAUGUGGAUUAAUUCGAUGCAACGCGAAAAACCUUACCUACCCUUGACAUGGUCGGAAUCCUGCUGAGAGGUGGGAGUGCCCGAAAGGGAACCGAUACACAGGUGCUGCAUGGCUGUCGUCAGCUCGUGUCGUGAGAUGUUGGGUUAAGUCCCGCAACGAGCGCAACCCUUGUCCCUAGUUGCUACGCAAGAGCACUCC
rnacentral:rRNA from 1 species